rnacentral:rRNA from 1 species
AUUGAACGCUGGCGGCAGGCCUAACACAUGCAAGUCGCGCGAGCGGCGGACGGGUGAGUAAUGUAUGGGGACUGCCCGAUAGAGGGGGAUAACUACUGGAAACGGUGGCUAAUACCGCAUACUAUCGGAUACCCCAUAUGGGAUUAGCUGGUAGGUGGGGUAAAGGCUCACCUAGGCGACGAUCUCUAGCUGGUCUGAGAGGAUGAUCAGACACACUGGGACGGAGACACGGCCCAGACUCCUACGGAGGCAGCAGUGGGGAAUAUUAGACAAUGGGCGAAAGUCUGACCCAGCCACGCCGCGUGGGUGAAGAAGGUUUUCGGGUUGUAAAGCACUGUUGUCAGGGAAGCGGUACCUAACCAGAAAGCCACGGCUAACUACGUGCCAGCAGCCGCGGUAAUAC